GGGCGGGUAGCUCAAAUGGUUAGAGCGUCGGCUUGACGUGCCGAAGGUUAGAGGUUCGAGUCCUCUCCCGCCCA
rnacentral:tRNA from 1 species